rnacentral:lncRNA from 1 species
AGAGACAAUCUCUACAAGACUCAUUUUAACACAAUGUUUGUUUGUUUUUUUUUUUAAUUGAGCUUAAAUAAAUCUGCUUGUGUUUUUUUUGAGGUGCAGACAGUUGCCUGUGCUCAAAACCAGCUGGAUACAAGGUAGUUCUUGUUCAAAAGUUGUGUGGCAGAGUUACUGGAAACAUGAGCUGUAGCUUCUGCAUCCUGUCUCUUGGUACAGAGUGUAUUCACAUAGAUUGACUGGAACAGACCGUGGGGAAAUAGAAGAAUUCUCUCACUUUGUGAAAACAAAAAGAUGUUCUGCAAAAGUAAUGUGUCCUCAUGGAGUACUGAUCUCUGAAUUACCUGAAUAAGAACCUCAGAAUGCCAUGACACCUGACCCAGAAUUUUAGGAUGUUGGUGUGACUUUGUCCCUUGAGUUCCUCUGAUGCUAAAAUCCCAUGUCCUAGUGCCAGAACCCUCAGCUGCUUAUGGAUUAUCCCUCAGUACAUUAUUAUGGAAGGAUCAGUUGACUUCUGUGGGAUACAUUGAAGAAUGAAGGUCUUCUGGAUCCUUUUCAAAUUCCACUAAGAAUGGUUUCACUUGUAGGUUUCUAAUUUCCUCAGAUUUGCUUCAAUCAAUAGAAUACUCUAAUCACAAAAAGACUAUUAUGUAUCAUAUGCUGAACUGUAGGCCAGUCCUUCCAAUGCAAUCCUGCUGCAUAAUUUUCCUUCAGGAGGGAUGAAGAAGCUUCAAAGUUGGUUACAUCUCAGGCCUGAAACUCUGAUCUAUUUUCCCAUGGAACCUGUUCAUUUUUUGACUGAAGUAAGUUUGAAAAUUUAUUCCUUACAGUGUAAACCUAGGUAACCCUUUAAUGAGAGGAUUUUACAGGCAGAUGUGAACAGUAGUGAUGAGACCCCCCUCUAGUAAUGCUUUUUUAAUGGAAAAGGAGACAUAGGAAGCAUCAAAGACAUAGGAACAGUGGUUCUGCACAUGAUUGACCUUAAUUUUUUGGAAGCAGAAAUUGAUUUUCAUACCUUUUCAACCUGCACUAUGAACUCAAGCGCAUGAUUUCCUCCUCUCCAUCUGAUUAGAAACUGAAAUUCAGUCAGAAAUUGAAAUAUAUAUAUGUAUGUCUUUUUAUGACAGAAAUUUACCUGUCUUUCUGAAGAGUUCACUCUCAAAGCUGUCAGUGUGGAAUGCGAACAAAAUUGGAGGUAUUUUCUACUGCAUGGUUCAUAGGCUUGUUUUUCAGUUCUUGUAAAGUGGCCUGUUAGUAAUGUCAGAGAGAAAUUAAUGCAAUAGAAUUUCUUGAAUUCAAGUGGCUUAGCAGAAUUACAUUUUGAAUGGGUGUUUGGAUGUAUGUGUUUAACCUUUCUCUUAACAAUUUAUCUGGGAACAUAUCCAUAAUGCUCCUUUUACUGAUAUUAUAAGCUGAGUGAUAAUAAAUACUGUUUUCCUAUUAAAAAAAAAAAAAAAAAAAAAAUCUGUAUGUUGGCAAAUAAAGAGAAGGCAAGAAGUACCUG